UUUUCAUUAGUAUAAAAUUUUGAAUCAUUUCAAGAAUAUUAUUAAAUAACAGUAGCAUACAAUUAUUUAAGAAAUCCUGUUUAACCCCUAUGUUGGAUUGUUAUUCAUCAGGCAGAAUACUGUUUAGUAAAUGAAGAUUGUAUAAAAAUGACUCCUGAUGAUGUUAAUAUCAUCAUGAUAUUUAUAUUGCUUUAGAUUGUAUUUAAUCAUAAUGCAAACACAUCAGACUACUUAGUGUAGAUAGUUGAGAUUAUGUACCAGGUGUUAAAGAAUGGUAUAGUAUAGUAUACAAUUCUGGAAUACAAUUAAGAGAUUGAAAAGAUACCAAAGAAAACAGAUAAGGAACAUCAAACAUCAAAACGGCGAUCUAAAAACAUCAAAUAAAGAAAUAUUAAGGACAUGGAAAGAACAUUGCAGCACAAAAUUUAAGGAAGAGGAAGGGAUACAAACACUACAUGGAAGGCAAGGAGGAGGGGAAGAUGAUGAGGUUGAAGAUGAAGCCCUAAAGACAAUGAGAAAUGGAAAAGCGACAAUAUAGUGUACAGAGACAAUACUGAGUGAAUGGGGAAAUAAUAUUAUCCCAAUACAUAAGAAGGGGGAAACCACAAAAUGUGAAAAUUAUAGAGCAGUGUGUCUUUCGUUGGUAGCUCUAAAAAUAUACACAAAAAUACUAGAAAAACGCCUAAAAAAAGAAGCAGAAGAUAAAUUGUAAGAGAAACAAGCGGCGUUUCGACCUACCAGGGAUAGACAAGACCACAUAUACACAAUCAGAACAUUAAUAGAUAAAACAAUGGAAAUGGGUAAGGACACAUACCUAGCAUGUGUGGACCUAACAUUAGCCUUUCAUACAGUACCAAAAGAAGAAAUAUAGAAAGCCUUACGAGCGUUAGAUAUAGACAAAAAAUUACAAAGAACAAUUGAAAGUGUAUAUAGCGAGGUAAAAGGGUACAUCAGGCUAAAUGAAGAAAUAUCUGAAAACUUUAAUAUAGAGAAGAAGGGUAUGAAAUAGGGGGACAGCCUGUGCCCACACUGAUUUUUAUGGAUCAAAUAAUUAUGGGUUAUGAGGAUUGUAAAUUAAGGGUUGUGAUUUCAACCCUUCUCACAGAUCGAGGUACUGGAUGCUUUUAACAGCCUCAAGCCAAGCAAGUUUGCUGAUAUCUUUGAACUCUAUGCAAUCAUGAUUAAAAAAGUUAAAAACCA